GUGCUCACUUCAGGAGCACACACACCAAAAUUGGAACAAUACAGAGAUUAACAUGGCCUCUGUGCAAGGAUGACACACAAAUUUGUGAAGCAUUACAUAUUUUU